UUUAUGGAGAGUUUGAUCCUGGCUCAGGAUGAACGCUGGCGGCGUGCCUAAUACAUGCAAGUCGAGCGAACGGACGAGAAGCUUGCUUCUCUGAUGUUAGCGGCGGACGGGUGAGUAAAACGUGGAUAACCUACCUAUAAGACUGGGAUAACUUCGGGAAACCGGAGCUAAUACCGGAUAAUAUUUUGAACCGCAUGGUUCAAAAGUGAAAGACGGU
rnacentral:rRNA from 1 species